rnacentral:rRNA from 1 species
CUUGGCGGCAGUAGCGCGGUGGUCCCACCUGACCCCAUGCCGAACUCAGAAGUGAAACGCCGUAGCGCCGAUGGUAGUGUGGGGUCUCCCCAUGCG